GGGCCCGCACAAGCAGCGGAGCGUGUGGUUUAAUUCGAGGCUACACGAAGAACCUUACCUGGGUUUGACAUAGGCGUAGUAGGGAACCGAAAGGGGACCGACCUUCGGGAGCGCUUACAGGUGCUGCAUGGCUGUCGUCAGCUCGUGCCGUGAGGUGUUCGGUUAAGUCCGCAAACGAGCGCAACCCCUGGUGCUAGUUACACGUGUCUAGCGCGACUGCCCGUGAGAAACGGGAGGAAGGUGGGGAUGACGUCAAGUCAGCAUGGCCUUUAUAUCCAGGGCUACACACACGCUACAAUGGGCGGUACAAUGGGUCGCGAAAGCGUGAGCUGGAGCCAAUCCUGAAAGCCGUUCGUAGUUCGGAUUGCAGGCUGCAACUCGCCUGCAUGAAGUCGGAGUUGCUAGUAACCGCAGGUCAGCUAUACUGCGGUGAAUACGUUCCCGGGCCUU
rnacentral:rRNA from 1 species